ACAACAGGAACGUGUACUCAACAGGAACGUGUACUCAAUUAGCUUUUGUGGGAAAGGGUUGAAGAUUCUUGGUAACUGCUUCAACAAACCAGAGGAAUUAAUUAGACCGCUGAUUUUCUCCGGAAGCGCGAAGCACUAGGCCGUUUGAGGAUCUCCGCUCCGCUUUGCCUGGGACCAGGAAAAGACGCGAGAGACGGAACUCGGCAUCAGGCACUGCUUGGGGCAGGAGGAGAGUAGGGGAAACCAAGGAAGAGAACAGAAAGGUAAGCACCAGCCACAAAAACCUACAAAAGAAGGGAAAUUACUGUCUUUAAAUAUUAAAAAAAAACAAGAUCCAUGAGUGGGCAUCGAUCAACAAGGAAAAGAUGUGGAGAUUCUCACCCGGAGUCCCCAGUGGGCUUCGGGCAUAUGAGUACUACAGGAUGUGUAUUAAAUAAAUUGUUUCAGUUACCAACACCACCAUUGUCAAGACACCAACUAAAGCGGCUAGAAGAACACAGAUAUCAAAGUGCUGGACGGUCCCUGCUUGAGCCCUUAAUGCAAGGGUAUUGGGAAUGGCUCGUUAGAAGAGUUCCCUCCUGGAUUGCCCCAAAUCUCAUCACCAUCAUUGGACUGUCAAUAAACAUCUGUACAACUAUUUUAUUAGUCUUCUACUGCCCUACAGCUACAGAGCAGGCACCUCUGUGGGCAUAUAUUGCUUGUGCCUGUGGCCUUUUCAUUUACCAGUCUUUGGAUGCUAUUGAUGGGAAACAGGCAAGAAGAACCAAUAGUAGUUCUCCUCUGGGAGAACUUUUUGAUCAUGGCUGUGAUUCACUAUCAACAGUUUUUGUGGUUCUUGGAACUUGUAUUGCAGUGCAGCUGGGGACAAACCCUGAUUGGAUGUUUUUUUGUUGUUUUGCGGGGACAUUUAUGUUCUAUUGUGCGCACUGGCAAACGUAUGUUUCUGGAACAUUGCGAUUUGGAAUGCUACUUCAUAUAUCCAGCAAAAUGUUCUAAGAUGUCUACCCUCCUCCACCCAAGACAGAAUCGAUCAUCUUUGACACCUACCUGCUUAGUCUCCUGAAUCUGCUACUGAGUGUAAUUCCCCUUAUUGGCAACACCACUCACCAGAAUUGAUGUGACUGAAGUGCAAAUCUUCAUAAUAAUCAUGCAUUUGCUGGCAGUGAUUGGAGGACCACCUUUUUGGCAAUCUAUGAUUCCAGUGCUGAAUAUUCAAAUGAAAAUUUUUCCUGCACUUUGUACUGUAGCAGGGACCAUAUUUUCCUGUACAAAUUACUUCCGUGUAAUCUUCACAGGUGGUGUUGGCAAAAAUGGAUCAACAAUAGCAGGAACAAGUGUCCUUUCUCCUUUUCUCCAUAUUGGAUCAGUGAUUACAUUAGCUGCAAUGAUCUACAAGAAAUCUGCAGUUCAGCUUUUUGAAAAGCAUCCCUGUCUUUAUAUACUGACAUUUGGUUUUGUGUCUGCUAAAAUCACUAAUAAGCUUGUGGUUGCACACAUGACGAAAAGUGAAAUGCAUUUGCAUGACACAGCAUUCAUAGGUCCGGCACUUUUGUUUCUGGACCAGUAUUUUAACAGCUUUAUUGAUGAAUAUAUUGUACUUUGGAUUGCCCUGGUUUUCUCUUUCUUUGAUUUGAUCCGCUACUGUGUCAGUGUUUGCAAUCAGAUUGCGUCUCACCUGCACAUACAUGUCUUCAGAAUCAAGGUCUCUACAGCUCAUUCUAAUCAUCAUUAAUGAUGUAAUUGGUAUAUAGGAACAUCAUGUUUUCUGCAGGAAAGAAAGUAACAUAUUAAGGAGAAUGGGGGUGGAUAAGAACAAAUAUAAUUUAUAAUAAUCAAUGUUGUAUAACUUUUAUUCUUUAUUAUUGGUAACACGCCCUAACUAUCCUGUGUGAGAAUGGGAAUUUCAAGUCCCAUCUUGUAAAUUGUAUAUGUUGUCAUGCAGGGUUUGGGCCAAGAAAGCAUGCAGAAAAAAAUGCCAUGUGAUUGUAAUUAUCCUGGAUUCAGAAUAAUACUGUGAUGGGGAGCCAGAUCCGCAGUGGUGGAGAGUUCUAAUGUUGACUGUUUGCAGGCCAAAAGAUGAUUGCUUUAUAAUUUUAACAAAUCAUUGUCUUUUAGUAACAUCCUUGUUUAGUGUCUUCUCAAGCUUUCUUUACUGAGGAAUUCAGCUUGUGACACAGAUACAUCCCACUAGCUUGUGAGGUGGAACUAGUAAUAAAGACCUUGAAUUUGGAUUGAAAAGUUUCCUAUCUUUACAUUGUUGAGGAAGUCCUUUUUUUUUUUUUUUUUUUUUUAAUUGCUCAAGAAAUGAUUCUCUCACAGGCUUGGGAAAUCCUGUUAGCAUGCAGAAUAAUGUGGUAACUUUGUCAAUUUCCCAUUUUAUUUUUUUAAAUAAAUAUAUGAUCUAAAAGCCAACUUUUUCUCAGUUUUACUCAGUGGAAAGAUAAACUAAGUUUUAAUGUUAUUUUUUUAAAUUUAAGCAAAAUUUAUUUCUGUUCUUUAAUAAAUAAGAAAAUGUGGUCCACUGCA